UACGUAGGUGGCAAGCGUUGUCCGGAUUUACUGGGCGUAAAGGAUGCGUAGGCGGACAUUUAAGUCAGAUGUGAAAUACCCGAGCUUAACUUGGGUGCUGCAUUUGAAACUGGGUGUCUAGAGUGCAGGAGAGGUAAGUGGAAUUCCUAGUGUAGCGGUGAAAUGCGUAGAGAUUAGGAAGAACACCCGUGGCGAAGGCGGCUCUCUGGAACGCAACUGACGCUGAGACGCGAAAGCGUGGGGAGCAAACAGG
rnacentral:rRNA from 1 species